rnacentral:rRNA from 1 species
GACGAACGCUGGCGGCGUGCCUAAUACAUGCAAGUUGAGCGCUGAAGGUUGGUACUUGUACCAACUGGAUGAGCAGCGAACGGGCGAGUAACGCGUGGGGAAUCUGCCUUUGAGCGGGGGACAACAUUUGGAAACGAAUGCUAAUACCGCAUAAAAACUUUAAACACAAGUUUUAAGUUUGAAAGAUGCAAUUGCAUCACUCAAAGAUGAUCCCGCGUUGUAUUAGCUAGUUGGUGAGGUAAAGGCUCACCAAGGCGAUGAUACAUAGCCGACCUGAGAGGGUGAGCAGCCACAUUGGGACUGAGACACGGCCCAAACGCCUACAGGAGGGAGCCGUAGUGAAACGUCGGCAAGGGGCGAAAGUCAGAGCGAGCUACGCCGCGUGAGUGAAGAGGGAUUUCGGGUCGUAGAACUCUGUUGGUAGAGAAUAACGUUGGUUAGGGUGGAAAGCUCAUCAAGUGACGGUAACUACCCAGAAAGGAACGGCUAACUACGUG